rnacentral:rRNA from 1 species
GGGGGGGGUUUACUACGCUACUGGCAUCAUAGAAUUUCUUCAAUUCAUGAUGUCGUAAGGGAAAAUAAUGAUAAUACCUUACUAAUAGUGUCGUCCAAAUCUGGUGCCAGAAGACUCGGUAAGACCAGAGACGCAAACGUUAAUCAUCUUAAACAGGCGUAAAGGGUUUGUAGGCGGUUUUCAUAAGGCUAUGAUUAAACAAAUAAAGUAGUCUAAUUGGAAACUAGAAUCAAAAAGAGGUUAUAGUGUAGAACGCUUAGAGGAGGGCUGAUAUCCGUAGAUCCUAAGCAGAAUACUAAGUGCGAAGGCCACUUUCCAUUAAUGAUUGACGCUGAGAAACGAAGGUUAGGGUAGGAAAUAGGAUUAGAUACCCCGGUACUCCUUUCUGUAAACGAUGAAUGGUAGUCUUUAGUUUAAGUUAAACUAGAGGCGAAGUUAACACGAUAACCAUUCCGCCUUGUGAGUACUACUGCAAAGUAGAAAACAAAAAAAUUAGUCGGUCUCGAAGCAAACGGAGUGAAGCAUGUUAUUUAAUUCAAUUAAUCCGCCA